rnacentral:rRNA from 1 species
UACGUAGGGCGCAAGCGUGGUCCGGAAUUAUUGGGCGUAAAGAGCUCGUAGGCGGCUUGUCACGUCGGGUGUGAAAGCCCGGGGCUUAACCCCGGGUCUGCAUUCGAUACGGGCUAGCUAGAGUGUGGUAGGGGAGAUCGGAAUUCCUGGUGUAGCGGUGAAAUGCGCAGAUAUCAGGAGGAACACCGGUGGCGAAGGCGGAUCUCUGGGCCAUUACUGACGCUGAGGAGCGAAAGCGUGGGGAGCGAACAGG